GAUGAACGCUGGCGGUAUGCUUAACACAUGCAAGUCGAACGGACUCUUCGGAGCUAGUGGCGGACGGGUGAGUAACGCGUGAGAAUCUGGCUUUGGGUUCGGGACAACCACUGGAAACGGUGGCUAAUACCGGAUGUGCCGAGAGGUAAAAGAGAAAUUGCCUGAAGAUGAGCUCGCGUCUGAUUAGCUAGUUGGUGAGGUAAAGGCUCACCAAGGCAGCGAUCAGUAGCUGGUCUGAGAGGAUGACCAGCCACACUGGGACUGAGACACGGCCCAGACUCCUACGGGAGGCAGCAGUGGGGAAUUUUCCGCAAUGGGCGAAAGCCUGACGGAGCAGUACCGCGUGAGGGAAGAAGGCUCUUGGGUUGUAAACCUCUUUUCUUAGGGAAGAACAAAAUGACGGUACCUAAGGAAUCAGCAUCGGCUAACUCCGUG
rnacentral:rRNA from 1 species